CUUAGCUCCCACAAUUUAGCCUAAAUAUUUGCCCUGGCAUGCUUAGAUUGGUCCAAACAAGCAUUAGGUUAUAGUCUGUUCCUCUUCCUUAUUUGAAGGUGUUUUUACCUUUCUCAGCAUUCCACAAGUUACUUCCUCCUUCCUUUGUUCUCCUCUACCUUUGCCCCUUUUCAUAAGUUCUAAGUUGCUAGCCAAUCGGAACAAAUACAGAAUGUGAGGUCUGGUUCCAGCCAAUGGAAACCGGACACAGCAGUAAGGUAGACGCGUCAGGUUAUGAACGACCCUGUCUCCUUUGUUCAGUGUACUCUCGUGGCAAAACUGCCGGCGAGUGUACCCUUUCUGCAGGAAGUAAAAAUGACCUUGCUGAGUAAAUUAAAUUUAUGUUC
rnacentral:lncRNA from 1 species